CCGCCUCGUGGAAUCCGGCCUUAAGGCGGUUUUCCACUAGGCGAAAUUUUUCGACCGAAUCGAAAUUUCUCUUUGUUUCAGAGCUCUCGAGCAGAACUAAUUGUAAAAAGACAAAGAGAAAUUUCGUUUCGGUCGAAAAAUUCCGCCUCGUGGAAAACCGCCUUUAAGGUCGUUUUCCUCCAGGCGG
rnacentral:miRNA from 1 species